rnacentral:lncRNA from 11 species
GAAUGCUGGAGUUGGAAAAACAUUGCACUAUAUGUUGUCCUGGAAGUGAGUUUAUCAAGGGAAGAGAACAGGCUCAUAUCCCCGAAAAAUAUCAGACUUUGGACAAAAAGAUGAAGAUUUAUCAAGGACUUGUGAUGUCUUCUAGUCUCAAAGCAGUUGUGGACGCAGCUUACAAGCUUGUAGUUGAGACUGAACAAGCUUUGGCUCAAUAUAGAGUAGAAGUCGAAGGCUACAAGGAGGAGGUUGCAGAAAUACCUCGAAAGGAGCAGGAGUUACUGGCUUGGAUAAAUACUAUGGAGCAGGAAAUCUCCCAGGUUCAAUCUGAAUGCGAUGAGGUACUUGCUCUAUAUGCCACCAGAACAACACAGGCAUCCUGGAUCAGAAAAUGCCUUUCGCAGUUAAAUUUUCUGGGAGGAAAAAUUAAAGCUGCUGCAGUGAUCUGCAACUAUGGCGAUAUCUCUGAGUUUGUGGUGGAUAUUUUAGAAGAAAUAGCAGGAAUGAUCUCAGGGCAGGAUGCAGAAUCAUUCCUUGUUGAUAAGGAGAUUCGAACUUUGGUUAAGCAAAUAAACAGCGCAGUGCAGUCUCUGAGAGCCAGGGCAAACGUAGCCAUUGCUUAAUAAUACUCCAUGGCCUUCCUCAUCAUAUGCUUUUAGUAAAUGCUGUCCCACUUUUCUCUGCUGAAUACUAUCCUUUGUGCU